GUAAUACUCCCUCCGUCCGAGAAUACUUGUCAUCAAAAUGGAUAAAAAAAGAUGUAUCUAGAACUAAAAUACAUCUAGAUACAUCCCCUUUUAUUCAUUUUGAUGACAAGUAUUUCCGGAUGGAGGGAGUACAAU
rnacentral:pre_miRNA from 1 species